rnacentral:lncRNA from 1 species
UGAACCAUAAACUUGUGUUUACUUUUCUCAUUGGGGUCAUAGUCAAAAGGCUGUAGCAUCACAGAAACAUUAAUUGAUGUUCCUGCAUCAAUAAUUCCACUGUUAGGCCUUACACAGUAUCUACGUGGUGCUGUGGUCUUAACUUUGAAGCACACAUUUCUGUCUGUAGGGUUGCCGAGUUUCAGGUUCGUAGUGACAACAUCUGUGAAAGGACCUUUGAAUUUGAGCUCGUGUUGCGGUUCGAGGCUGAGGACCUGCUCCGCUUUCGCCAUGUUCCUCCUCCUCCUCGGCGGUGGC